rnacentral:rRNA from 1 species
UCGUUAGUGGCGAACGGCUGAGUAACGCGUAGGUGACCUGCCCCGAAGUGGGGGAUAACUGCCCGAAAGGGUGGCUAAUACCGCAUGUGGCGACGCUUUCAUUGGCGUCAUCAAAGCCGCGAGGCGCUUCGGGAGGGGCCUGCGUCCGAUUAGCUCGUUGGUGGGGUAAUGGCUCACCAAGGCGACGAUCGGUAGGUGGUCUGAGAGGACGAUCACCCAGACUGGGACUGAGACACGGCCCAGACUCCUACGGGAGGCAGCAGUCGGGAAUUUUGCUCAAUGGGGGAAACCCUGAAGCAGCAACGCCGCGUGCGGGAUGAAGGCCUUCGGGUUGUAAACCGCUUUUACCAGGGACGAUAGUGACGGUACCUGAUGAAUAAGUCACGGCUAACUACGUGCCAGCAGCCGCGGUAAUACGUAGGUGACUAGCGUUGUCCGGAUUUACUGGGCGUAAAGAGCGCGCAGGCGGUCGUUCAAGUCGAGUGUGAAAGCCCCCGGCUCAACUGGGGAGGGUCAUUCGAUACUGAUCGACUCGAAGGCAGGAGAGGGAAGCGGAAUUCCCGGUGUAGUGGUGAAAUGCGUAGAUAUCGGGAGGAACACCAGUGGCGAAGGCGGCUUCCUGGCCUGUCCUUGACGCUGAGGCGCGAAAGCUAGGGGAGCAAACGGGAUUAGAUACCCCGGUAGUCCUAGCCGUAAACGAUGGACACUAGGUGUUGGUGGUAUCAACCCCACCAGUGCCGAAGCUAACGCAUUAAGUGUCCCGCCUGGGGAGUACGGCCGCAAGGCUAAAACUCAAAGGAAUUGACGGGGCCCCGCACAAGCAGCGGAGCGUGGGGUUUGAUUCGAUGCAACGCGAAGAACCUUACCAAGGCUUGACAUGACCAGGAAUCCGGCGGAAACGUCGG